AAGCAGCGGCCGCGGCGAUGAGUGCUUACCGUUCCUUUCCUGUCCAUUAGGGCCUUGUCUACAUAAUACGCCUUUGUUGUGGCCGCGUCGGAAGGCUUUGCACUCGCUCAUUCAGUGUGGGAAAUCAGCUGAAACCGAAAAUGAAGGAUAUCCGACAAGCAAUGGCUGCAAUAAAAGUUCAAAGAGGGCAACAACACGGUCACAGUCCGCCGAUGAAUUCCCGUGCAGAUUCACCCGCCUGAGUAAUGUGCCCUGUGCGGCAGAGUUAAGCAUCACCUGCAGAUAUGCUUUUGUGUCACUUCAAUUAAUAAAGAUGAAUCGAGGCGCUG